GCGCACGCUGGCGGCAGGCUUAACCCAUGCAAGUCGAGCGGGCAUCCUUGUGGUGUCAGCGGCAGACGGGUGAGUAACGCGUGGGAACGUGCCCUUCGGUUCGGAAUAACUCAGGGAAACUUGAGCUAAUACCGGAUACGUGCGAGAGCAGAAAGGUUUAUCUGCCGAAGGAUCGGCCCGCGUCUGAUUAGCUAGUUGGUGAGGUUAUGGCUCACCAAGGCGACGAUCAGUAGCUGGUCUGAGAGGAUGAUCAGCCACACUGGGACUGAGACACGGCCCAGACUCCUACGGGAGGCAGCAGUGGGGAAUAUUGGACAAUGGGGGCAACCCUGAUCCAGCCAUGCCGCGUGAGUGAUGACGGCCUUAGGGUUGUAAAGCUCUUUUCUCCGGGACGAUAAUGACGGUACCGGAGGAAUAAGCCCCGGCUAACUUCGUG
rnacentral:rRNA from 1 species